rnacentral:snRNA from 1 species
GUGCUUGCCUUGGCAGCACAUACACUGAAAUUUGAAUGACACAGAGAUUAGCAUGGCCAAAGAAUGACAUGCAAAAUCUGAAACAUUUCAUAUUUUU